CAGUCGUACCUUCGGGUAAUCAGCCUUUCGGGUGCGAUUCUGUGGAGUUUGAGGAGCUUAACACCUUCAUGCUUUGCAUAUUCGUGCUCUUGGGUGUACUUGCCCGUGUGGUUGGUUAACAUCAAUUUCGGGCACCAUAAAAUGACUGGAGGAAUGUAGCUUCGAUCUCGUAUUGAAGUGUUAUAGCCUUCGGUAGAUGUGAUGACUGAGAUUGAGGAUUGCAACGGAUACCCUUCGGGGCUACCUGUCUGAUCUCUGAUCGUUGCUCUGGUGCCGAAAGCUUGCUUACGGUUAUCAAAGUCGAUGGUCAAUAGGUUAGAAUGGGUUAAA
rnacentral:rRNA from 1 species